UACGUAGGUGGCAAGCGUUGUCCGGAUUUACUGGGCGUAAAGAGCGCGCAGGCGGUUGUGCAAGUCGCGUGUGAAAGCCCCCGGCUCAACUGGGGAGGUCACGCGAUACGUGCUCAACUCGAAGGCAGGAGAGGGAAGUGGAAUUCCCGGUGUAGUGGUGAAAUGGCGUAGAUAUCUGGAGGAACACCGGUGGCGAAGGCGAACAUCCUGGACCAAUACGUGACGCUGAGUGAGCGAAAGCCAGGGGAGCAAACGGGG
rnacentral:rRNA from 1 species